rnacentral:rRNA from 1 species
CCUACGGGUGGCAGCAGUGGGGAAUAUUGGACAAUGGGGGGAACCCUGAUCCAGCCAUGCCGCGUGUGUGAAGAAGGCCCUCGGGUUGUAAAGCACUUUCAGUGAGGAAGAACGCCUGGUGGUUAAUACCCAUCAGGAAAGACAUCACUCACAGAAGAAGCACCGGCUAACUCCGUGCCAGCAGCCGCGGUAAUACGGAGGGUGCGAGCGUUAAUCGGAAUUACUGGGCGUAAAGCGCGCGUAGGUGGCUUGAUAAGCCGGUUGUGAAAGCCCCGGGCUCAACCUGGGAACGGCAUCCGGAACUGUCAAGCUAGAGUGCAGGAGAGGAAGGUAGAAUUCCCGGUGUAGCGGUGAAAUGCGUAGAGAUCGGGAGGAAUACCAGUGGCGAAGGCGGCCUUCUGGACUGACAAUGACACUGAGGUGCGAAAGCGUGGGUAGCAAACAGGAUUAGAUACCCCAGUAGUC